rnacentral:ncRNA from 2 species
UUAAGAUAACAAGGCACAAGUGAUCUGUCAUAGUAUAGGGAAACUUCGGUGUAAAUCCGAGGCUGUGCCGCAGCUGUAAAAGAAGUUAUGAGUCAAUUAUCCAACUCAAAACUUUCUCAAGCCAGAAUGCCUAACUGUGACUUGCUCACACU